AUUGGUUCUGCGACUCUGGGCGGGCGGGGCGCGCGGGGUGAGGCGAAUGGCGGCCCGCGGGACUGAGUUGUGAGGGAAAGCGCGUGCAGGGGGCUUCGCGCCUCUCACCUCAGCGCCCACGGCUCUGUUCGCCCGCGGCGGAGUGGGCGCGCGGGUGGCUGCCGCGCUGACUUACAACUGCGUUGUUCUCUCGAGGCGCUUCCCGAUAACAGACCAAGCGCGAAGCCUAGCCCCGGAGGCGCAACGCUCGCGUGAGGCGAUGGCUGUUGCCCGCAGCAGCCUCCUAACGGUACGCCGCCGCCCGCGGAGCGCUCCCGUCCCGCUGAGGCGCGGUUAUGGCAGCGCCGCUGCGUUUCCUGGCGCCGCUCCGUGAAGGUGCGGUGCGCGCUGACUCAGUCACUCCAGGGAGAGAGGUUUACUACAUGUUUCCAGCUCUGCUGGUUUUGCAACAGAGAAGGCCGGAGUUUGUUGUUCUUGGUGGAAACUUGGAGUCGGUAUUACAUAACUCGGAGCUGGAGCCCUGAGCGGGCCUGGGCCGUCGUUCCUUUUGCCCAAGGAUGUAUCAGCUCUGUUGGCAAUGCGUGUGUGAGGAGCACAGGAGACAACGCUCCUUGUGUUUGUACUUUAAAUUCUUGUGCAGUGUACCAUCCCUAAUAUCUCAUUUGUCCACGAGAAGCACAGAGCUCAGCUUUUAGAUGGAGAGCCAAAGAUUGCUGCCACCUCUUUAAAAGGGAAUUCAGGCACAUGAAGCCCUUUGCUGGUGGUGUGCUGAAAGUAACAGUUUAACUUUUUGUAGUGAUAAAUGUAAACAUAAUGGAGUGUUCCACCCUCUGUCAAACACGUCCUCUGGCCCAACUUACCUGCACCGCUGCUACGAUUCAGGAAGUGCCCAUGGCAUAAUGAAGGCAUGUGGCACUGUUUACCUUUAUUCUGCAAGCUCUCAAGCCUGGGAUCCAGGCUGUCCUUCAGCAAAUCACUUUUAGACCAACUUCUACCCUGUGUGAGAUUUGAAGUAGCGCCUUGGUAAAGUCACAGCACACCGUGGGAUAUUUGGUUUCAUAAGCAGUGCAGUGUGUGUAGAAUAUUAAAGAUGGGUGCAAGAUAAAAUCAAUGUAGUACAUUCAGAUUAAGACGACAAUUAUUUUUUUAACUUAAAAACAGUUUCAAUCUAUAAACCAGACUCCUUAAGAGGAACAAAAAAUAUAUAUCAUACUUACAAUACUAAGAUCAUAUGAAAAACCAUACCCAGCCACACCCAGGAAUUUGAAGCCACUCUUUUGCUUUGCUGCUUGUGGUACUUGACACGAGAACCAUGUUAACUGGUCCGUUCUGCUUUGAUUCCCAUGCGCAGCAAAACUGCUUCCUAUUUCUCACUGGAAUUGUAACAGGUUUUCUUACAAAUUCUCAGGUUUAAAUCCUUGGACAUAAUGACUAUUUGCUUUCAUUGUUUUUUCCUCUCAUGUUUUGCUGCUCACGAAUUGAAAAGUAUUAAGACAAUCUGAAAAUAGGUGAUCUAAAUGAGCAACUGUGGACAAGUUCCACAACCAUCUUUUAAUUGUAAAUACAGCAGGCUUGAAAAUUGUGAUUCCAUAGAACAGGUUGUGUAUCUCUUUUCUGGUAUAGAUACUUAUCUUUACAAGACUUAAUUUUUUUUCUAAUACUAAAUUUUAAGUAGAAUUAGAAACAAAAAUUUUUGUUGUUGUAAGAUAUUCUUUUGCUUAAUGUGUACCAUCUCGAGGAAACUUACCCCACAUCCAGCAAGAGAUCUUCUGUUGCCUUCUUUUAGGCAGCCUUGGCUCAGAUUGUAAUCAGAUCUGUACCCAAAGCUGCUAUCACCUGUAUGUGUUAAUUUAUACAGAGCCAUCAGCUUGCUUCAAUUGGAAAUUAUCCUGCAUUUGCUUACAUCAGUAAGGGGGAAGCUAAGACUGAACUGAUAUCUGCAGCUGGACUUAAAUGGGGUGGAUGAAAAGAUAAGCACUGCCAAGCUUCACUAUUUUUUUUUUCUUGCAGGCUUUUAUAUUUGUGGCAGCUAAAUGCGUAAGUGUGUUCUGGAGUUGAAAGUUUAUAGACCAGCAGCAACAGUAGACCAAAGUGGGUGGCAGUUUAUGUAAGUCUGUUGUCUAAGCUUAGGCUCAGAUGGUAGGUGUAAUCAGAGUGGUUUUAAUGAUAGAGUGUAUUAAUUUCUCUGCAAAAGUUGUUGCUCUGAAUGUCUUCUUUGUAUUUUAUCAAGCCUUGCUAAGGCUUGCAUGAUUUACUGUUUGAUUUGCAGCUCUCCAUAGGUUUCCAUUUCCUUUCUAUUUUUUUUUCUAUUUCUUUUUCUUGCUUUACUGAACUAUCUUCUUUCCUUUAGCUCUUGCAUGGAUGUACUUAACAGUGCUUUCUUCAGACUUGUACUCUCUUCAAACUGUUGAUUUCUUCUGAUCAGGCUCAUCUCAAUCUCUCAGCUUGGCGAUUCCAAACAGCAAUUUCCAGUUACUAUGUCUGUUUUAUGCUACAUAGAAAUAAGGUAGAGAUAUAUAUUUAAGGAAGUAAAGGGUAAAUGUCUAGUGUCUACAUACAGUAUCCACAUGCUAUGCUCAUGUACAGAUGAGUGGAAGCCUUAGAGAAAACAGUAAGUCUUUGCCAGCCUCUACAGGUAUUCAACUUGAAUGCAUCCUGAGCAAAAUUGUGGAAUUGAACAGGAGAGUCUUUAUUUUAAAAUGGCUUAGUAGAAUUCAAUUGCUUUAGAUGAUUUACAUUGUAGGAGCUAUUCUUUGUGGAAUGAAAGCUAAAUAGAACUUGAUCAAUAUGUGUGUGGGCUUACAAGUGAAAACCAGAAGUUUUGUGUGGAGUAGAAAAUACUUUAUGUGGAAAGAUGUAGAGAACUGACAUAAGAAGAUGGUCUACAAAAUAAAAUACUCUUGCAAAAAAAGAUCUGAAUGGAAGGAAAUGAUUUAUAUGUUGUGGUCAGAGAAAAGGAUAUUAGCAGUAACUGAGAUGAGGAGAGCUUGUGCAAGAUUCCCAGCCAUGUCAGUAACUCACAGAACUCACAGCAGUUUGGACCAAUCUGAAUCUAAAACUCACAUUCCUGGCUCUGAAGUUCCACCUACUCCUUUGCGCAGUUAGCUGUGAAAUAACUGAGCUGAAAAGUGGUUGGUUGUCAGCCAGAUCAUUUAUCUAGCACACACUCAUUACAUGACAGUAAAUUGCAAUGGAAAUACCUUAAGUUUGAAAGGAGACAGUAGUAUGAGGUAAUCGUAUCUGUAUUUGUCAAUUAGGAUAAUGAGGUAUGAGCUAGGAGAGAAGGGAGGAGAGAAAUUAUAGCAGAGUUCACUGGUGUUCUUGCAGACAUGGGUAAGAAACACAAGGGAAGCUAUUGCUGGGCCAGGCUGAAGCAGCAACUGGGGAAACAGCAAUAGGUGAGAAUAAUUGCAAAAGCUAAGGAAAGAGGAAAGCUAGCUAUGCUAAAAGUGUCUGGAGACAAAAGAGUUUGGUUUAAGUUGUGUUAAGAAGCUUUUAGAUGAGUAGAGGAAGCAAAACUGUGUUUGAAGUGAAUUUAGGGUGCAGCCAGACAGGAGAUGUGGUUGGAAGACUUACAAACAUGAGAUGAGAGGAGGCACUUCUAAGGAAGGAUCAUAUUAAAUUAAUUGAUUGAUGUACAAGAGGCUGAAGUGCAUCUGUGUGGGUGCUGAGGGGUCAGAGCAGAGUGUAUGACAACAGCUUGUGAACAUAUAAAAGAAUGGGCUUGGGGGUGAUCAGGAAAUAAAAUGGAAGAAGGUCAGUAGAGCAAGUGAUGGAGUUACAGAGGAUGUGUAGAUAAGAAGUUUGUUAUUACUUGGAGUCUUGUGGAAAUAAUAACAUCUUUAAAGAAAAUUGUGAGAUAGCAAAUACAUGAAAGCAGAAAUGAAGGCUUGAAUUGGGUUAGUCAGAAGCAAUAAAAAGUUAGCUAGGAAUACAGGCAUGUAGGCAAGCUGCAGCAGAAUUGUUUAGCGGUAAGAAAUGGAGGAGGGAGAAGGCUUGCAGGAGCGGAAGUGAGCUUGGUCACAGGAUUUCCGUCAAAGACACUUCGCACUGCAAAAGCAAGCACGGAUGAAGCAGGUUCUGGAGAAAUGCUUCUGGAAACAGCAAGGAGGAGAAAUUCUGACACAGAAGGAUGGGGGAAGGAGCGAAGUGCACAGGACGCUGCUCGUGGGGAAGCUUCAGCAGAUAAGGAUGCACAGACGGAUAUUGAUAUAUUUUUUUUUUCCUAUCUUGGCUAACUGGGAGCAAAAUGCACACACCAAAGAAAUUGCAAGAGAUUAAAGUCGACAGUAUUUUGUGAGGAUAUUAAUUUCAACAUUUCUUAUGUAAUCAUCUGAAAUAUUCACUGGGGCCGAGGAGGCUUUUGAGCUGCCAAACCUAGGCUCAGCAUUGUAAGCACUUACUUUGCAAACAGCUCUUGCCAAAUUAAUCCUGAGCUAAAAGAAAAAGUAGAUGAACUCCCAAAUUUUUCUAGGAAUUCAUUUCUCAUAAAACACAUCUUUCCCUUAUCUGUGAGUAGUUGCUGCGUUUACAAUACCUUCAAAUCAACUGUUGGUUAAGCUGUCUCUGUUAGAGAAGCCAACAUCAUAUGCCUGUAUUAGCAAAGUCAGUCUAUAUCUGAAUUGUUCAAGCCUUGAGCAUUUUUGUCUCUCGGAGCCUCUGUGUUUUGGGGUAUGAGGAAAACAAACAAUUUCAACCUUUGAUUUGUAAACAUGCUUCAAACCGUCAGGAAUGAGGCUACUGUGAUUUUGUUUCUAAUUUCUAUUUGUACAUUGUUUACAUUUCUUAUGGAAAGUAUGGUUAAGGCAGAGUGGGUCUUUCUUACACAAAAGCCUGCUUUGGCAGGAAACUUCCAUUUCUUCUGCUGGCCAUUACUAUGCAACGUUACAUCUAUUGCUCUCUGCGCGUUUUGCCUUGUGCCCUUUCUCCUUUGCAUCAGCUUUCAGCCUGUUUUCAAUAAAAAGAAAUGAAGCCCA
rnacentral:lncRNA from 1 species